GUGGGGAAUCUUGCGCAAUGGGCGAAAGCCUGACGCAGCCAUGCCGCGUGAAUGAUGAAGGUCUUAGGAUUGUAAAAUUCUUUCACCGGGACGAUAAUGACGGUACCCGGAGAAGAAGCUCCGGCUAACUUCGUGCCAGCAGCCGCGGUAAUACGAAGGGGGCUAGCGUUGCUCGGAAUUACUGGGCGUAAAGGGCGCGUAGGCGGACAGCUUAGUCAGAGGUGAAAGCCCAGGGCUCAACCUUGGAAUUGCCUUUGAUACUGGCUGUCUUGAGUUUGGGAGAGGUGAGUGGAACUCCGAGUGUAGAGGUGAAAUUCGUAGAUAUUCGGAAGAACACCAGUGGCGAAGGCGACUCACUGGCCCGUUACUGACGCUGAGGCGCGAAAGCGUGGGGAGCAAACAGGAUUAGAAACCCCAGUAGUCC
rnacentral:rRNA from 1 species